AUAUAGUGAUGGUAAUAUUUUUCAUCAACAGAGUUCUAGUGAGUGUUGAUACAAUGGGUCUGGGUAA